rnacentral:lncRNA from 1 species
AAAAAACUUUAGUACUUGACUAUAUUCAUCUCCACAGCUCUUCAAGAAUAAGAAGGGUAUAUAUAAUAUGAUGUUAGCCAUGUGUUGGAGGAAUAAAAAUCUGGCACAUUUCAUUUUCACCCUCUUUUCUUUUGUUUUCACUCACUAAUUAGAAUGUGUUUGAAAACAACAAGUCCCACUAUAAAUGAGCUACUUCCUUUGAUGAUAUUCUUGUUUCCUUUAAAGUAAAAAGAGAUGGAUUUUUGGAGAGGUGGGUAUGAGAAGCUUGAGAAGAGAAGGAGGCCAAUUGCAAUUAGUAGAAGAGGAAAAGGGGUGAAGCUAAGGCGAUGUACAAGGAAGCUCAUGUCUAUGCUGUCAACAAAGAUUGGUAGGAAAUAUGUGAAUUUUGUGAAAAGAAUGAAGAUGGAGGAAGCAUCUCCUGCUAUUGUCUUCUCCUUCCACUGGGGUCUUCCAGUCCUUUCCCACACCAACAAAAUUUCCUUCUCCACUUUACUCACAUAAUUAACAUUCUUGUAAGUUUCUAUCAUUCUUGUAACUUUCUUCUACUUAAUUAGUGCUUUGCAAGCUCAUCAUAUGAUUUACUACUAUACUUUUAUUUAAUUCAUAUACAUAAGUUCACAUUCAUUGGGGAUGAUUAUCGAGAUAACGAGUAGACAAUCUUCCAAGUAUGAAGUAUGGUUUAAUUACAAGUCUUCCAAGAAAAGGAAAAGAAUUGAAGUAUAAAAAUGGAUCGAGAUUAGAAACUAAUUAAUACUACCAAGGAUCAACAAAUGAGAAUGAUAACUUGGGAAUUACUACUCAUCGAGUUUAGAGAAGAAAUCCAGAUGAAUGAAAUAGCAAAAUGAAGUAUAUACAAACACAGCCUUUGAAUUGAGAGAAUAUUGCUUCUCUUGAAUAUAAAACUUAAGGUAGGUAGGUAGGUAGAGGUAGGUUGAUGGAAAUUAAUAUCGAGGGAGGCCAGCAAGACCACCCUUGUAGCGAAUCCAUUCAUGAAGAGCACAUAGGAAUCCUUGAGCCUCCGCUUUGAGCCAAAAAUAUUCCCAAUCUUCAUCACUGAAUCAUUCUUCUUCUUCUUCUUCUUCCUCGACUCUGUCCGAAGCUUUAUUAUGGCCCCGUGAGCGUGACUAGUGUUGUCGUCCUCCUCCUUGAUGGUCUCCAGCUUCAUCUUCAGUAUGUCCUCCACUUCCAUUCUUGACUCCGUCCUCGUCACCUUCUUCUUCAUUCUGCAAGGCAUGCCCCACCGCAUUCUUGCUGGCUCGACUCAAAAAAAGCUCGUUGCAUCAGACUUGCAUUUUCAACAAAUUUAUGCAGAUCGAUUGGGCUUAUUUAUAAUGAGUAGACUUUUGGGAUGAAACAGGAUGUGUGUAGUAGUUGGAAAAGGUGAGUGUCAAUAGACUAGUUCUAACUUUUUUUCUUUUUUGCUCUUUACAACUUGACUCGAUCAUUGCAAACUCUUUCUUGUUUAACUAUUCAAAGCUUUAUUAUUUAUUAUACACCUGACAUCAUCUAGGAUUAGAUUAUAGAUGCCACUUUGCUUUAACAAUUUGGCUUGCUGCGAAUUUUAUGAUUCCUUCAAAACUGCCUUCAGCUUAUAAUACUUCCAUAAUUCGAGUUAUUGAUUAAUCAUGCAAUGACAAGAGGCACACUCCCAUGCAUCUACAUCCAUAUUAAUUAAAUUUUGAAUAUAUUUAAUAAACUAUAAUUAAAAUUAAUAAAUUAUAAUUGAAAUUAAUAAACCCAAAAAGGUUAAUCAACCCUACUUAGAUUAAUUUAUUACUCCCUCCGUCCCAUGAAUCUUGACACGUUUGGUUUCGACAUUGGAAUUAAGGAAUUAUAGAUUAGUGUUGUAAGGGCGUGUUUGAUAUUGGCUAAUACACUGUAUUAGCUAAUUUAGUACAGAUCAGUCUAGUGUUUGAUAUUAUUUAGUAAUAAUGCGGAUGACCCGGUUUAAUCCCACGACCCAAUAUUAUUAAUCCAGAUUUCUUAGGAUUAAUAAUACCACCUCCCCCUAGGAUUAACUUAAACUAGGAUAUUCUGUAUUUAGCCAUGAUAGCAAACACCAACUCAGUAUUAAUAAUAUGUCAUUAUCCACGCUAAAUAUUCUGGUUACAAAUUAUCCUACAUAGAGCCGAGCCGAAUAGCUGGAUGACCUGGCGGCGGCGGCGCACUCGGAGAAGCAACGACUGGAGGUGAGGCGGCGGCACGGCUCAAUCUGGUGUGGAGGUGAGGCGGUGGCGUAGAGGAAGGCUCACCGCUCUGGAACAGAGCACGUCUCGCCGGGAGGCUGGAGGCGCGGCUCGCUCUGGAAUGGAGCGCAUCUUGCUGGGAGGCUUGAGGCGCGGCGGUAAGGGAGGGCGGCUCGUCGGUCUGGAAUGGAGUGCGUCUCGCCG